GACGAACCGUCCUAACGUUGUUCGGAAUCACUGGGCUUAAAGGGCGCGUAGGCGGGCGAUCAAGUCCAGGGUGAAAUCUUUCGGCUUAACCGGAAAAUAGCCUUGGAUACUGCUUGUCUCGAGGGAGGCAGGGGCCGUUGGAACUUCCGGUGGAGCGGUGAAAUGCGUUGAUAUCGGAAGGAACGCCGGUGGCGAAAGCGAACGGCUGGACCUCUUCUGACGCUGAGGCGCGAAAGCCAGGGGAGCAAACGGG
rnacentral:rRNA from 1 species